AGAGUUUGAUCCUGGCUCAGAUUGAACGCUGGCGGCAGGCCUAACACAUGCAAGUCGAGCGGAAACGAUCCUAGCUUGCUAGGAGGCGUCGAGCGGCGGACGGGUGAGUAAUGCAUAGGAAUCUGCCCGGUAGUGGGGGAUAACCUGGGGAAACCCAGGCUAAUACCGCAUACGCCCUACGGGGGAAAGCAGGGGAUCUUCGGACCUUGCGCUAUCGGAUGAGCCUAUGUCGGAUUAGCUAGUUGGUGAGGUAACGGCUCACCAAGGCUGCGAUCCGUAGCUGGUCUGAGAGGAUGAUCAGCCACAUCGGGACUGAGACACGGCCCGAACUCCUACGGGAGGCAGCAGUGGGGAAUAUUGGACAAUGGGCGAAAGCCUGAUCCAGCCAUGCCGCGUGUGUGAAGAAGGCCUUCGGGUUGUAAAGCACUUUCAGUGAGGAAGAAAGCCUUGAGGUUAAUACCCUCGAGGGAGGACAUCACUCACAGAAGAAGCACCGGCUAACUCCGUGCCAGCAGCCGCGGUAAUACGGAGGGUGCGAGCGUUAAUCGGAAUUACUGGGCGUAAAGCGCGCGUAGGCGGCUUGAUAAGCCGGUUGUGAAAGCCCCGGGCUCAACCUGGGAACGGCAUCCGG
rnacentral:rRNA from 1 species